UGGGUGACAAGAAUCCAGGUGUGCAGC
rnacentral:piRNA from 1 species